AGCAGCCGCGGUAAUUCCAGCUCCAAUAGCGUAUAUUAAAGUUGUUGCAGUUAAAAAGCUCGUAGUUGAACUUCAGACCUGGCUGGGCGGUCCGCUUAACGGCGUGUACUGUCUGGCUGGGUCUUACCUCUUGGUGAGCCGGCGUGCCCUUUAUUGGUGUGCGUCGGGGAACCAGGACUUUUAACCUUGAGAAAAUUUAGAGUGUUUAAAGCAGGCAUACGCUUGAAUACAUUAGCAUGGAAUAAUGAAAUAGGACGUUCGAUUCUAUUUUGUUGGUUUCUAGGAUCGACGUAAUGAUUAAUAGGGAUAGUUGGGGGCAUUAGUAUUCAAUUGUCAGAGGUGAAAUUCUUGGAUUUAUUGAAGACUAACUACUGCGAAAGCAUUUGCCAAGGAUGUUUUCAUUAAUCAAGAACAAAGUUAGGGAUCGAAGACGAUCAGAUACCGUACGUAGUCUUAACCAUAAACCUAUAGCCGACUAGGGAUCGGAUGAUGUUAAUUUUUANGUACUCAAGUUCGGACG
rnacentral:rRNA from 1 species